rnacentral:lncRNA from 1 species
AAACUCUCCUAAAAUCAGUGUGAUCAUUCAACCAGGGCUCGGGUCCAUUUCCACCAGCAUGGGACGCCACCCAGUUGAGUGUAGCCCACGAGUCUUCGUAACAAGCGAGUAUGGGUCGAUCCGGGAAGAGCUUGUAUUCCACGGACACCACUAUAGCGUUAGCUUGUGCAGAAACGACACUACAGAAAUUAUGAUACAGCGGACCAAAGGCGGACCGCCUGCAGAAUCCGCCGCCAUGCAAGUAGAAUAAGAGAGGGAGGCACAAUUGUACUUUUUUUUUUUUUAAUUUGGGAAGGAAAUUUCUGUUGAACAUGUGAAAAGUGAAAACAAUGGGAGACACAAUUGUACUUUUUUAGACAAAAUCUCAUGGUAAGCCACACACCCGUAGUAAAAUACUAUGUAAUGAAAAAAAAAAUGAAUUUAAAUACUUUAUAUAAGUUGCAAACUGGAAUCAGAUAUUGGAAUUUAUAUUUCCGGAUUUCGAUUGAACGACUCUCUAUAACUCUUCAAUUAUUGAAAUGUUAAUCAGUUAAUUAUGUUCUGUCAAUACCAAUUCAAUCACAAGUAUGGCGACAUGAAAAAUAAUAAAACAAUCACAAUUGACAAUUAGUAUUUGCUUUCAAUACUAUUUCUGGGGGAACCAUUAUUUUGCUUGAUGAAGGAGAUGAAUUUAUUGGUCAACUCCAAAGCAUUUGUACAUGUAGGGUUUCUCAAAUAAAAGACAUGCUUCUCAUCGAGAUGCUCAACGAGCUCCACUCUCCCUUUCCAUCCACUUUUCUUCAACUCCUCGUAGUAAUUUUUCCCAGCGGGACACAAGUAGUCUCUCUCAGCCACAAAUAUCAAAACCCUCUCACACCCAAGCCUAGCCAGAUCCUCUGCGGGCGGUUUCAUCCUAGGAUCCUGCGGCCCAUCAUUACUUGCACACAUGUACAACCACAUCUCAUCGUCCUCCGUACCGCCAAAAAAUGGGUGUACCAUCGUCACCCCAACCAAGUUCACACCGGGUAGCCCGAUUGAUCCGACCCGGAACGCCAGAGUGUGUGCGAUGUUCCCUCCUGCACUGUCCCCACCAAUGAAAACUCUCCCAAGAUCAGCAUGAUGAUUCAACCAUGGGUCAGGUCGGUUUCCGCUAACAUGGGAGGCCACCCACUUGAGUGCAGCCCACGAGUCUUCGUAACAAGCGGGUAUGGGUCGAUCCGGGAAGAGUCCGUACUCCACGGAUACGACUAUGGCAUUCGCUUGAGAAGAAACGGUGUUACAGAAAUCAUGAUAGGGCUUCGCAAAGGCGGAUAACGUGCAGAAUCCACCGCCAUGCAUGUAGAGUAAGAGAGGGAACUUUUGUUUAUCAGAGUUUGUUACUUUAGGAAUGAAAAUACGGGCGGAUACCGUUGGUUGAGAUGAAAUAACAACAUCUUUGGAUCGGACGCAGCUGAUGGGGUCGGAAGAACUCGAGGCAGCCGUCAUUGUAAACCCGGAAAAAUGGGAACUCUUUGAUAAUUUCUUUAGGGCUUGAACUUGAUGCCGUUAAAGAAUACUGAGUAAAACAAUAAGUAAAAAUAAUAAAGAAAAGAAAAAGGAGUGGUCCCGCGCACUAUUUUGAAACUGGCAUAACGUUUUAUAAUUGGAAAAUGUUAAAUAUGAAGAAGAAUGAGAGAAAACUGAGAAAAUGAAGUAUGUGCUGAGAGAAGAGAGAGAGAGAAAAAGCCGACAGAAGAGAGAGAGAUGAAAUAAAAAAACAGCCAGUAGUUUCUCUUAGUAAGAGAGAGAGUAUGCAUGCAGCUUUCUUCUGAGGUAGAGUAGAGGAUGGCAAACUUGUUUCCCAGGGACUAAACUCUGCUUGUAAUUCGAAGCUUUCAAUCUUUUAUAAUUCACAAUUGCUGUGAAAUGGAUCAGUCACAAACGGCAGCAAUGAAUGACGAAUUCCAUCAAAUAAUGUUCUUACUAAGUUGUGUGUUGUGUUUGUAGAGUUUAAUUGAGGUACAGACAUACUCUAAUAAUAUGCCAUUUUUGUGCAUAUUUAUUUAGUUUGGUAUCAUCACUUGUUUUCACAUUUGUUCGUAUUGUAUAAUCAUACUGUAUUUUAUUAACAAGUUGUUUCUUUCAUAAAUUAAAAUGCCUUAUAAACAUAUUCAUAGUUCCUCUUUACAUUUUAUUUUAGGUUUGUUUUCUUUUUUAACACCAGUUUUCUUUUAAGUCAAUAGCAACUCAAUUUUCUCUCUAUUUAUGUGAGCGGAGUUUGAACUCUAAAUAUUUUAUUUUUAAUACGAGAGAUUUUAUUAAUAACCUUAACAUAUGCAUUACAUCAAGUUCAAGCCUACGAGUAAAUCCUUCCUGUUGCAGUGCCCGUAACAGGAAGGAUUUUAUUAAUAACCUUAACCCAAAAUAUACUAACAAAAGCAAAACAUACAUAUAAUCCCUCUCAUGAACACCGCACUAAUUAACUAAAGUUGUGUGACAAACGAAACAAACUUAUUGAUCAGCUCUACAGCUUUUUCACAUUUAAGAUUGUCGAAAUAGAAGCUAUGCCCUUCGCCGUGAGUCUCAAAAAGCUCCACCGUUCCUUUCCACCCACUUUUCUUCAAGUCUUCGUAGUAAUUCAUAGCCACAGGUUUCAAAAAAUCUUUCUCAGCCACAAAUAUCAAAACCCUCUCACACCCAAGCCUAGCCAGAUCCUCUGCGGGCGGUUUCAGCCGAGGAUCCUGAAACCCUGCGUUUGUUGGACACAUGUACAACCAGGUCGCAUCUUCUUCAGGACUAGUGCCACCGAAAAAUGGAUGCACCAUGAUCACCCCAACCAAUUUUACACAAGGUAACCCGAUUGUCCCGACCCGAAACGCCAGUGUGUGUGCAAUAUUCCCUCCAGCGCUGGCUCCUCCAAUCAAAACUUUCCCAAAAUCAGCGUGAUCAUUCAACCAUGGCUCGGGUCCAUUUCCGCUGACAUGGGACGCCACCCAGUUGAGUGCAGCCCACGAGUCUUCGUAACAAGCGGGUAUGGGUCGAUCCGGGAAAUUCCCAUAUUCCACGGACACCACUAUAGCAUUAGCUUGUGCAGAAAAGACGCUACAGAAAUUAUGAUACCGCGGACCAAAGGCGGACUGCCUGCAGAAUCCGCCGCCACGCAAGUAGAAUAAGAGAGGGAGCUUAUUCUGGUUAGGGUUUUGGGCUUCAUACGGAAUGAAGAUACGAGCAGACACGGGUGGUUCGGACGAAAUAACAACGUCUUUGGAUCGGACGCCGGUGGUGGAGUCAUCGGAGGGUUGGAUUUUUUCGCAGUCGGGUUCGAAUAACUCAACCCGGCCGUCUUUGUAAACCCGGAAGAAUCGGAAUUCUUUUGCAAUUUCCGAGUCGCUUGAUGCCAUGUUUUUAAUUUGAAGCUUCGGUUUGAAAUAUAAUAAUAAAAGAGAAGAAGGGUUCUUUGUGUUUGUGCUGUUUGGUGAAAGAGGGAGAGCCAUCAAACGCUUUAUAAUAUGGGAACGUACGUAGCUACCUAACUUUCAAAGCAUCUUCUCGCCCUACGUGGCUACCUAACUUUCACAGCAUCUUCUCGCUCAUAAGUAUCUGUUUCUUUGACAGUUAUUUUUUCUUUCUUUCAUACCUUUUUCUUAUCAGUAAAUAGUUACGAUGCACGAAUUGACGUUGAUAUUCCUUUUUUUCACACCUUUUUCUUGUCAGUAAAUAUUUACGAUACGCGAAUUGACGUUGAUAUUCCUUUUUUUCAUACCUUUUUCUUAUCAGUAAAUACUUACGAUGCACGAAUUGACGUUGAUAUUCCUUUUUUUCAUUCCUUUUUCUUGUCAGUAAAUAUUUACGAUACACGAAUUGACGUUGAUAUUCCAAUUAUAGAUACGGCCAUACGGGUCCGCCUAAGUUACAGUUAAUCUAAUUUACAGCUGCCCUGUAAAUGAUGUUAUGAUAUAUAUAUUUUUAUUUUGAAAAACUAACAUGUAAAUGGUAAUUAUAUUAAAUUUAAUUAUACAUAUUAUACAUGUAUUAGUUGAUUGUAUUAUCUCUAAUAUAUUCUAGAAUUCUUCCCAACAUUAAUAAGAUUAUUCGAAGGAUUAAUGAAUUAGAAGGAUUAGAAUUUAGUAUUCGACUGCGUUUUUAUUUGAACACUGAAUUAAUAGUUAGGAUUAUUUUUAUUUUUUUCUCUUGUCUAACGGUUUUUACUCUCUUAUUUCUUUUUUCAAUUUGUCUUUAUUUUAUUGGGGUUAGAAACUCAUUCUUUUUUAUUUUUCACACACUAAAAUCACCGGCAGUGGAUCCACCUCAUAACCAGUGGUGGUUUAAACCCCCACUAGAGAAAAUAAUUUCAAAAAAUUAAAAAAAUUACUUGAGUUACUAAUUAUCCCUGUUAAAUUUAUAAAAGUAGCCCCAUAAACUUAUAAGCCCAUAUAAUUUAAGGAUAAAGAUCAUUUCAUGGUAUGAACAUAUUUGAACAUUGAAGAAUCUUUUAACAUUUAUACAUUGUUAUUUGAGUGAUGAUACAGUCACAAACUCUUGUACAAAUUUAUCUUAUACAAACUGAUUUGUCAUUAAUUAAUUAGUUAAAUGAAAAUACAAAAUAAUAAAAAUAGAACAUGUGGGUCAAGAGAUAUUUAAUUCAACCAAUUUUAUCAUGUCACAUCAGUUUGUACAAAAUAAAUUUGUACAAGAGUUUGUCGCUAUAUUAUUAUUCUUUAUUGUUAAAAAAAAUCAUAUUUUUAAAAAUAAUUUUUUCUUUACUUUUCAAAAUUUAUUGUAGGAUAAAGUAAUUUUACCAAAAGAGAUUUUUAAACAAAAUUCACUAAACAGAAAAUAAUUUUAAUUUUUUAAAAUUACUUUUAAGUUUUAAAAGCAUUCUGAAAUGUUAAAUUGAGACCUUAGGCAUAAAACCAAGAAAAAAAAAAACUCUUACGAAAGGCUGACGAACAAAAUAUUUUAACUUUAAAUGAGUAGAAAACAUAAGAAAAGGUAAACAUGUAUCACGGGUGCUAUACGACAGCUCUUUCUACCAAGGCUGUAUCGGGUAAAAUGACCCUACUUCUUUUAAUUAUUAUUUAAUAUUUUUAAUAAUAAAGAAAAAGACAUCAUAAAUAAGGGUCCAGCUAUAGUACUACAAUAAUAUCAUACCACAGCUGAAUUCAUAAUAGUAUUACAUUAUGUGCUGAAUCCAAUGACUGAAUGGUAUGGUAGCCAUAAUUUUGCCCCAAAAAUAAUUGUUGGCCCCGCCAAUUACUUCUUUACAAGACGACAAGAAGACUUGUCUCUAUCAAAGCAAUACUCCUUUUAUUAUUUAAUAUUUUAAUAAUAAAAGUUUAUAAUUAAUUUAGAACUGAUCUAAAAUACAUUACAAUUUUAAUCAUAUAAUUAUAAAAGAAUGUUAUCCAACAUCACUAGAUCCCAUUAAUAAUUAUUGGCCUAACACUAUAAAAGCCAAUUGCUUUUUUGAGGAAAUCGAUUAUCAAACACUCAGUUUGUACGGAGCUCCUCAUGGGUCCGCCUGAGUUACAUUUAAUGUAACUUACCGGCAGCUUGUGAAAUUUUAUCUAACCCCCUAUACUCUAUUAUAAUUUUAUUUUAUUCAUAAAUAUUAUAAACUUUUUGAAUUAUAAAUUUUUGUUUAACUCUUUAUACUCAAUUUUAUUUUAUUAAAAUCUUAGAGUAUGAAUUCGCCCCCAUAAUUUUAAAUUCUCAAAAUAACCUCCAUUUAAUUAAAAAAUAUAAUAAUUAUUAAAUGAAUUAUAAUAAUUAUUAUUAUUUUAUUAUAAUCAUAAAUAUAAUUAUAUUUUUAAAAUGGAUUAUUGUUAUUAUUAAUAACAAUAAUAAAAAGCAUUAUAAUUAAUUAAUCUAUUAACAAUAAUUAAUGAUAAUUAUUAUUAAUAAUUAAUUUUUGAAUACUAAUAACAAUAAUAAUAAUAAUUAAAAUAAAAAUUAAUACUUAUGAUAAAAAUUAAUUAAAGAUUUUAUGACAAUUGGUUUACAAUUUAAUUUAUUCUGAUUUUGACUCUAAAAAAAAUAAACAAAUAAAUGGUAAUACAACUCAUUCUAAUUACGAUUUCUUCAACUUAAGUAAAUAAAUUAUAAUGUUAUUCUGUUUAUUUAUUUAUUUUUCUCUGAAGUGUUUUCUAGAGAGAGAGAGAGAGAGUGUGUGUGUGUGUAGAUUUUUUUAACUUUUGAAAAUAGUCACAUUUUGUAAAAUCUUAUGAUAGGAUAAGAUGUAGAUCAAUUUUAACUCGAUGAAAAUAUAUUGUCUGUUAGAAAAAAAUAAAUUAAAAAUAAAUAUUGGAGAAAAUAUAUUAUUAAGUGAAUAAUAAUAAUAAUAAUUUUAAUUUUAAUUUAUUUACUUAAACUGAAGAAAUCGUAAUUAGAAUGAGCUGUAUUACAAUUUAUGUGUUUAUUUUGUCUUAGAAUCAAAAUCAGAAUGAGUUAAAUUGUAACCAAUUACUAUAAAAUCAUUAAUUAAUUUUUAUCAUAAUUAUUAUUUUGUAUUUUAAUUAUUGCUAUUGUUAUUAUUAUUCAAAAAUUAAUUAUUAAUAAUAAUUAUCAUUAAUUAUUAUUAUUAUUAUUAAUUUAAUAAAAAAUAUUAUUAAUUAAUGUCAAUAGGUUAACUAAUUAUAAUUCUUUUUAUUAUUGUUAUUAAUAAUAAUAAUAAUCUAUUUUAAAAAUAUAAUUAUAUUUAUGAUUAUAAUAAAAUAAUAAUUAUAAUAUAAUUCAUUUAACAAUAAAUAUAUUUUUUAAUUAAAUAUAGGUUACUUUGAGAAUUUAAAAUUAUGGGGGCGAAUUCAUACUCUAGGGUUUUAAUAAAAUAAAAUUGAGUAUAACGUGUUAAAUGAAAGUUUAUAAUUCAAAAAGUUUAUAAUAUUUAUUAAUAAAAUAUAAAUAACAUAAAGUAUAGGGAGUUAGCUAACAUUUCACAGACCCACUGGAAGUUACAUUAAAUGUUACAUUUUACGAACAAAAUUUUUUAAAUUUUAAAUGAGUAGAAAACAGAAGAAAAGGUAAACGUGCAUCACGUGUGCUGUACGGCAGCUCUUUCUACCACGGCUUUAUUGUACCUCUUCUGAUUAUUAUUUAAUAUUUUUAAUAAUAAAGAAGACUUGUCUCUAUCAAGGCAAUGCUCUUUUUAUUAUUUAAUAUUUUAAUAACAAAAGGCCAUGAUCAUUUUGGAACUGAUCUAAAAUAUAUUAUAAUUUUUAUUAUGUAAUUAUGGAAGAAUAUUUUCAACAUCACUGGACUCCACAAAUAAUAAUUGGCUUAAGACUAUAAAAGCCAAUUAGUUUUUCAGGCUAUAGAUUGCUCACUCAAUACUCAUGAUGCCAAUGCAUUAUUGCUUGUCAUUCUAGGCUUGUUUGUGUCUUUGGAAAAUUUUCAUUCCAGCCUGUCCACCCACUAGGUUGCCAUGAAGUAAUAAUAAAUAUAAUAAGUUAUUAUUAAAAAACAAAAAAAUCAGUUUGUACGGAGCUUCUCACAUAAUGCUCUUUACUUCUCAGCUUCCUCUGCGGAUCACAUCGUAGGCCACCCACCCUACCAACCUAUCGAGAGUCGAGACCUGUGCUUUUAGUUUUGUUUCCCAUGACCUCAACAAGGAGAAUCGCCUCUGUCAACUACUAGGUAAUUUUAUCAGUAUUUAAGUCUUGGGUUUAAAAAAUUAAAAAAUAAAAAAAUUAAAAAAAAAAGAUAAAUAAUUUUAAAUUUCAUAAGCAAUGGGCCCACUAUUUAAAUUAUUAUUAUUAGCAGCAGCAGCAACUCUGUAAGGGUAAAGCUACUGAUCUGAGUUUCAUUUUGGAUUCAUCGAGCUCAAUUUUCUGAAUUUUGUUAGCUAAAAUUUUCAAAUUCUCUGAAUUCCCUUGUGAAGCAACCAAGUUCGCUUGGCCAGCAGCCUCUUGAAGCAGCACGCCGUAAUCAAGCUUUCAAAUUUGCUUCAACUUUCACAACUAUCCUUUGUCCUUUCAUUUUUUUUUUAAUCUAUUUUAAAAAGAGAUUAUUAGUUUUCCACCUUUGAAAUCGAUAUAUACUACUUAUCCUCUAUUGUUUUUAUAAUAUCUAAUAAAUAUUUGAUACUAAAUUUUUUUUUUAAAAAAGAAGACAUAAUAUCCAAUAAUCUCAUGACACUAAAAAUUUAAAAGAAAAGAGAGGAAUAAAUAAGUUAUUUAUUUGAUAUUUGAUCUUAGAAAUAAAAAAAAUACAUUUAUUAAAAUAAUUUUUUUUCAAAUUAACAAAAAGCACAACAAAAUUAUCUCAAAAAGCACAACAAAAUUAUCUUACUAUUAAUUUUUUAUUUACCUAAGAUUUAUAUUUCUUAUUUUUAGUAUUUAUUUUUUAUUUUAAAUUUAAUCAUACAAAUUAUUUAAUUUAUAAUAAAUAUAAAUAUAAAUAUCUUCAAAAAUAAUGGCAAUAAUAUAAAGGGAGAAUGCUAAGGUACAGUCUGUGUACCUUACAGCACCCUCACAAAAUGAUCGUGGGCUCCACGUCGGCUCACUUUUCAUUUUACUGUGCAAGCGUGGCUGUAAGGUGCAGAACCUGUAAGUUAGCCUCCCUCCAACAUAAAGUAGUGGUGCUAGGAAUUAUUGAAUAUUACAAUAAUAAUAACAAAAAUAAAUAAUAUACACUGAUUUUAAGUGGAGUGGAGGAAAUUUACCGUCACCCUUUUCAAUUAACAUUACAUCUGGGAUUAUUUUUUGUCACCCCAUAAGAAUCGAUAAAUAUUACCAAGUAUCCUAAUUUUUCGACAACUAUUACUGCACACCGAUUCUGUUAAAAAUUACCAUUAACCUUAGUGAUUUUAUCAGAUAUAUAUUGAAACCACCAUAAUACCUCCACAUAAAUUGAAUUGACUAUAAAUACUGAAAUUAUAAGAAUAUAUUAAUUGGCAGUUGACACUUUAUUUUCUUCAAAAAAAAUAAUUAUAGAAUGUGUAAAAAUAAUGUUAAUUGUAAACUGAAAUAAUUAAAAUUAAAUUAAAGUUUAUUUUUUUGAAGAAAUUAUAUUAAAACCCAGGAGACAUCUCCAACGCCAAGCUUCAGCAUCAUGGCAUUUCCCAGUAUUUAUAGCGAUAACCAAAUAUAUGCUUUGAAAGCAACAAAAACAACAACAUAAACUUCCAAUUUCAUAGCACAAUCAAAAUAAUUUAUUAUAUCAAACAAAUUGUCAAUUACCUAAACCUAAAAAUUAAUAAACAAUAGCAUGGAAAACCCUAAAAUUUUAAAAUUGGGAUUUUAUAGUUGUUAGUCACCAUUGUUGGUGCCGCAUCUGUCAGGGUAGUGCAAUUGGUUAUGUGACUCUUGUGACGUCGAUGGAAGGAAAAAGUGAAAACCCUUGUUGUGGAGCAUGAAUGGAGAAGAGAAGAAAAUGAGCAUUUGUUGCCGAGUAUAAACGGGGGAGAGAAGAUGGAGCGUGAAUGGAGUCAUGGAGAAGGAAGAGAAAAAAUAAUUUUUUCCCUUUUUUCUUUAUUCAUCCGUUUAACUUUACUAUUCUACCAUUAUAGCAGUUAAGUUAAUGGUGAUCGCUAAUGGAAUAAGUGCGCAGCCAUAGUUAUUGAAAGAUUAAAGUGUACAGUAAUAUUUGUCGAUUCUUAAGUUGAUUCUUAGGGGGGGAUGGCGAAAAAUAACCCUCACACUUGGCUCGUUGGUAACCAAAAUGAUUUGACAUUUUCCACAACACAUCAAAUCAAACUUUUCUGGCGUGAUGUCGCACAGAUGAUGCGGUCCUCCUUGUAAGAGCCUCUUACUAGAACUAAUAAUAUUUGCCUUGCCAUCUACUCCUUAAAAGUAUACAAAAUAUUUUCUAGGGAAAAACCUGAUUCAUCCUCGUAUAUGCAUAAUGUUAGGUUUAAAAUUAAAUAGAAGCACUCGAGAAAAAUUAUUUAAAGCUAGCAUAUACCAAAAUGAAGAAUAUAAUUUUGAACCAACCUUUUUUUUUAUUUAAAGCUAGCAGAGGGAAAUUUUUAAAUUGGGAAAAAUAAAAUUUUUAGAUGAAAUUAAAAAAUGAUUCUCUAGAAAAGCUAGGACCUGCUUGGUUCCAAUUGUAAUUGCCUUUCCUUCUUCUUAGUUUUUAGAAUAUAAACUAUUUUUUUUAAAGAGACUCACACUAUCAUGGAUUUACUGGGCGCUCAUCCAUUGCUAUUAUCUUUUUCCCACUUUUCAUCUUUCUUCUUCCAUCAACAGUAAAUAUUUAUUAAUUUAAAUAAAUUAAAUCCAAUGUUUAUUUAACUGUGUUGCGCCUUUUGUAAUUUUCUACGCAUCUAUAUUUAUACAUAAAGAGAUAAAUUAAAUAACUGAUCACCAACUCCAAAUCUUAUCACACCUAUAUAUAUUUAUAAAAUUUUUCUAUGAUGCCGUAUAAAUUUUUAUGGUAUUGAUAAUAGGGUCACUUAUGGGCCCUUGAAUCUAGAUGUUUUAAUUUUCACCAUUUAUUUAAUUUAGUAAAUGAAUAACUAAUUACUUAAUAAUGAAUGGAUAAUAUUUGUGUUUAUGGAUAUAAGUUUAUAUUUUUUAUAAUUUGAUAAAUAUUUUCUAAUCGCCAACAAAAUUAAAUAUUCAAUAUGCAGAUAUACAAAUUAAUUUAUAUGUUUAAACAACGAAUAUGAAUUAUUUAAUAUUCAACAAUACAUGUUAAUUCAAAUCCUUUUUAUAAUUUAUAAUUAUAAAAAAUAUAAUUUUGAAUUCUUAGUUCUAUUUGUUGUCUAUUUUCCUUUUAAAUUGCUCAUUGUCUAAGAUUGAGUUAAUUAAUUGUUGUAAUAUUUAUUAAUCUAGCAACUUUUUUUUUUUGUUGUUGCUGAAGAAGAGAUAAUAAUAAUAGAAUAAAUUAAGAUUGAGUUGUGUUAAUAUUAAAAUACAUAAAAGGAAAUAUAGAAGUUUCAAUAAACUAUAGUUGUUUCUUUUUCAUUAAUCUUUAAAAAAUCUUUUAAAUAAUUGAAAUUAAAUAUUGUCCUAACUAAGUGGCCGUUCAUUUUUUUGACAUAAUGACUUAAUUGAUUUAAUUUUAAUCAGUUAGGUAAUUAAAUCUGUUUAUUUUUACAACUUAAUGAACAAUUUCAGCUAUUAAAUCAUUAAGUUAUUAACUAAUUUUUUUAGCCUUUUACUUAAUAUAAAAAGUCUAAAUGAUAUCAUUAAAAAAUAUUCUCUAAAAUAUCUCUAUCUUAUUAAUUAAUUUUCAUCCUUACCUAAAUAAAAUUUAAUAAUUAACAUUAUUACACAUCUUUUUAUAACUUGUGAUGAUUUAUGGUGGUACACUAUUAUUAUGUUUUAUCUUUUUAUUUUCUUCAAAUUAGCAUUAUUUAUUUUCAUAAUUGUUUUAUGAAAUUUUUCAUAUAAAAACAUCAAAACUAUAAUAAAAUCGAUUAACAUAUAUAAUAUAGAAUAUUAAAGAGUUUUAUUCAAUUGAAUAUGAUUCAGAUUAUGAUAAUUUAUUAUCUUAGUUAUAUUCUUUGAGAUGUUUAUUUUUUAACAUUUAUAAUUUAUAAGGGUAUAAAUGUAAAAAUAUUGAUUUUUAGAUUUUUAAGUUGAAAAAAUAAAAAAACUAAAUAUUUAUUUUCAGCGAUUCAGAUAAAAAAAUAAAUAUAUCAUUUAAAUUUAGACAUUCGGCUCUAUUCAUAAUUUAGAUUAAUUAAGGUCUAUUCAGAUUUCAGACAAAAAACAAGUGCCACCUAACUUUUAACUUUGUGAAUGGUAUAUUUAUUCAUACUACAAUUUUUAUAAGUGUAUCAUAGAGUGACCCACAUAACACAAACACACUCUACAUAUAUAUAGGACAUUGUUUGGUUGGCUACACGUGGUGUGCUCCAUCAUGUGUAGCUAGUUUUGCCCUUUGGAUUUACAUCCAAAUCCACUAGUGGCAGAUCUACUAGUGGCCGAUACUGGGCUACAAACAAAAAAUGAAAAUUCAAGUAUGCUAACUAAAUUUACGAAUAUGCCAUCACUGAUUGAUUAAAAGAGUACCAUUCAAUUUUUUUUAAAAAAAUUACUUAAUUCACUUUUUCUUUGCUUUUAUUGACAAUAAUACUAAAAGCCAAGAGUGAAAAAGAAUUGGUGGUUCCCUUCACGAUUUUUCAUCUUCUUCAUCUUUCAAUUUCUUUACCUUUAUAUCUUUUCCUAUCGAUACACUUUCAGUGUUCCUUCUAGUUUCUAUAGACACAAUAGGGUGUGUAUUUUUAGCCAUGAGCCUUAUCAAGAUAUCACUUUACAAGAAUACGGAAAAUGAGUUUCUUUUAAGUUGUAUAAUUAUUUAUGCUGAAAGAGAAAUUAUAUAUACUAUUGAUUCAGAUUCCAUAAUUAAUGAGUUUUGAAAAGUACAAGCCUUAGUAGUAUUUUUCUUUUGAAUUACAUUUUUAUUUUCUACUUUUUUAUAUAAUUAUUUUAUUUAAAGUAAAUAUUACCUGGGAUAAGGCUUCUAAUAUCCCUGUAUUUUAUACUUAUAUACUUAAGAAAUUUUAAGUGCGCUUCACAACAUUAUUUUUUUAAAAAUACAACAUCUUCCUUUCUCUCUUUACUACCAUAUAGGUCACAGUACAAAGGCCUCCCUAUAUUAUUAUUAUCUUUUUUCAGCUCAAUUUAAUAUUUCCUAUGGAUUCCUCAAACUCAAAGCCAGCAGCUGAAGUAGCCUAGGACGUGUCUCCCAUGUUUAAAAUAUACGAAGACGGCAGAGUAGAGAGGCUUAUAGGCAACAAGAUAGUUCCCCCAUCCUUUGAUCCAAAAACAAGCGUUGAUUCCAAAGACGUUGUGUAUUCACCUGAAAAUAAUCUAUCCGCCCGGCUUUACAUCCCCAAAAACACAAACAAUCCAAACCAUAAACUCCCUCUAGUGGUUUAUAUCUAUGGCGGAGGCUUUUGCAUCUAUUCUGCCUUUCAUCCAAUUUACCAUAAUUAUGUUAAUACCCUUGUCUCUGAAGCUAAGGUUAUUACAGUCUCCGUUGACCAUCGACGAGCUCCUGAGAAUCCUGUCCCUUGUGCUCAUGAAGAUUCAUGGGCUGCACUCAAAUGGGUUGCUUCCCAUGCUUAUGGACAAGGCCCUGAAGAUUGGCUUAACUAUUAUGCUGAUUUUGAGCGAGUUUUUAUUUAUGGGGACAGCGCUGGAGGUAAUAUAGCUCAUCACAUGGUGAUGAGACUCCCUCGAGAAAUUCUCGACGGUUUUAAUGUUGUUGGUAUUGUUUUAGCUCAUACUUAUUUUUGGGGAAAAGAACCUGUUGGUAAUGAGACAACUGAUGCCGAAACUAGAGCUUCCAUAGAGAAGAUGUGGUGAGCUGCUUGUCCUGGUACAAGUGGGUGCGAUGAUCCGCUAAUUAAUCCGUUCGUCGGUUCGAGUCUAGCGAACCUCGGGUGCAAAAGGGUGCAGGUUCAUGUUGUAGAGAAGGAUUUGAUGAGAGAUAGAGGAUGGUUUUAUUAUGAGAAGUUAAAGGAAAGUGGUUGAGGAGGUGAAGCGGAGAUCGUUGAGUCUAAAGGAGAGCCGCAUAUCUUCUAUUUGCUCAGUCCCACUUGUGACAGUGCUGUGGCUAUGAGGAAGAAGAUUGUCCUUCUUCAACGAGAUUUAGACAUGAAUUUCUUAUAUAGGUUGUUCAAAUAAGCUACCGCAAUUGAUCUGCUGGAAAUUACAGCACUUCCAAGGUUAUAACGUUUCUUUUUUUUUUUUUUUUUUUUCCCCUUUACCACGUGGAAGGAGAGGUAUUUUCCUAAAUUCACAUCUGUGAUAUAUAUUUCACACUUAGACUUUGAUUUGGUGUAUGUAUGAUAUGGUUGUAUUGUUGGUUAAAAAUUCUCAAAUUAAAUUGCUUCAAUCUCAAAUUUCAAGUCAAAAUUAUGAAAGAAUUGAUGUUAGCACUCAUGGUCUAUACGGAAUUAACAUAAAAAUCAAGUAUAAACUAAAACAAUAUUCAAACCUUUCUAAGAACUAUAUUCAUUGUAAAUCAAGUUCUUACCAUUGGCUUUUCAUAUUUAUAACAAAUAUUUUUUUUUGGAAAUUCUUAAUGGAUUUUUUUUUUAACUUAACAAUAAUUAAAACACAUACUAACUCCCACCCCCAAACUUAUUUUGAGCAUUGUCCUUAAUAUUUCAUAAUCUAAAGAUAUAAAUACAAAAAGGUGAAAGAGAUAAAGAAAUCAUGAAGAAUAAAACAAAAAGUUAGCGAGAUCACACUUGAGCUGGUUGCAAAAGCUUAAAAGAAGAUGACAAAGAACAAGAAAAUGUUAGAAAAUAAAAAUAUUAGGAAACAAAAAUAAACAAAAGUCCUUAGUAUCAUGCGAAAUAAACGAAAAUUUCUCAAAUAAUGACACUAACAAGUCCUCCAGGAUAAACAAGAAUUUGGUUAUAUACUUAGAGUGACUAUCAAGAAAACAAAAAACAAGACUAUUGAACCUCUUGAGCAUAUGAUCUAUGAAAGAAAAAUGCAAGUGACCUCGAUUUUACCAACCUUUUUCACAAUAGGGUUUGGAUUUGGUAUUAUCUCAAGCAUAUGGCUAAAACCAUUCUCAAAGUGAAUCAUAGGUGCAUAGAACGAGGGACUGCAGCUAUCCAACUUAUGGCUUCUUCAUGUUCAUUAAAAAUCAUUAAUUAAUUUACCAACAUGUUUAUUUUAUUUAGUUGCUAAAAUAACAAAGAAGUUUUCUGAAGAUACUUAAGACAGAGAAAUGGAUGACUCAAGUAAUGGUUUCAAGUCUAAUAACGGUCGUUUUUCUAUAGAUGGAGGAGGUAUAGACUUAGAGGGUGGAAGACAGUCUACUUUAGCUAUCCAUUUAUUAAGAUCCAUUAAUGAGGUAGACUCUGGUAUAGAAUUUACUUCACUAAUCAUAGUAUUCGCAUUUAUGUCGAUGCUAAAAUAAGUUGAAUAAUCUUUUACUAGUCAUCUUCAUUGAAAAGCAUAAAGGAAUUAUUGAUUGUACUCUCUAUUAGAUUGACAACUCCAUCAUCAUUAAAAUUCUCUAUAGUAUAAAGUUGUUUACUAACAAUAAACACAUUGAGUUCCAUAGUCAUAUUCCUAAAUGAAAUUCUUAUGACAUCAUUAUGACAAUUAUUAAGAAUUUGUUGUGGCUAAGAACGGUCAACCACUAAUAAGAAUUUGAGAACAUGGGUUCACUACAGGUUCAGUGUCAAGAACUAUGAAGUCGUCAUGAAAGUAGAAUUUAUCUACCUUGACAAGAACAUCCUCUAUAAUCCCUCUAAAAAUGUUGACAGAUUUAUCUAGGGAUGGCAAUGGGGAGGGGAGGGGAGGGGACCAAUCUCCCCGUACCCAUCCCCGAUAUUUUACGUAUGUCCCCGUCCCCUCCCCAUCCCCUCCCCGAAUAAUAACAGGGGAUCCCCGAGGGUCUCCGAUCCCCGAAUAACUAAUACAUUUUUUUGUUUUCAAUUUUGAGUUAAUCAUAUUAAAAUAAAAAAUUCAAAUAAAAGUAAAGUUUGAAAUAUAUCUUACAUUAAUAUCCAUUACAAAAGUCACAUACAUGAAAUUAGUAAGUAACGAUGCAUGCAAGGGAUACAAACUAUCAUGAACAAAUUAAUAGCCUAAUACAAAAUUGUUACAAAUAAAAUCAAUUUUAGAUUCAAAAUUAACUUUUCAAUGGUGGCGUUGGCACUUUAUAAAUGUGGACUAUUCCCUUUACAACACAAUAGUUAAGUCGAAGCAAAUCAAGAGUAAAUAUUAGAUUAGAUUAGAUAUUAAAAUUAUGAUUUGCUGUGGGCAAUUAUAACAUCUAAAAAUAAAUAAAAAAUAGAUUUAAGUUUAAAAGAUUUAAUGAAUAUUAAAAUUAAAACAAAAGUUUUGGGCUAAUAGAAUCUGUCCGGUCUUUUUAAUGUCCUAAAUAAAAAUUUAGGACUUUAAUUAGUUAAUUAGGCCUAAAAGUUUAAUAAUAUAAAUAUUUUGAUAUUUCUAUUUUUACCAAUACUUAUAAUUUUAUAAUUCAAAUUUUAUUAUUUAUUUACUAGUAAUUUUAAAAAAUAAAAAUUAAAUUAAAAAUUAAAAUGGGGAAAUGGGUAAGGGAUGGGGAUUCCACCUCAUCCCCGUCCCCUCCCCGAAUAAGAAAUUGGAUAAAAAAAUUUCCCCUCCCCUUCCCCGAAUAAGAAAUUGGGUAUGAAAUUAUCCUCAUACCCUCCCCGAAUAGGGAAAAUCCCCGAGGGUACCCAUCCCCGUGGGGAUUUUUGCCAUCCCUAGAUUUAUCUACUGAUUAGAGUGAUACAUGAGCGGGUUUCAAGUCUUUAAAUCCUAAUUUCUCAUAGAUAGAGUAUGGCAACAAGUUAACAAUGGCACUUAAAUCAAGUAAAGCUCUAUCAAAUGCAUGGUCUCUAAUAACACAAGAAAUUGAGAUAAACUAGGGUAUUUAUACUUAGUAGGAAUUUUGUUCAGGAGAAUGCUAUUAACCUUUUUAGUUAGGAAUGCCUUUUAUGGGACAUUGUUUUUCCUUUUUACUAUACAAAGAUCUUUUAAGAACUUAGCAUAAGCUGAUAAUCGUUGAAUAACAUCAAGCAAAGGGAUGUUUAUACGAACUUGCUUAAACAUUUCUAGAAUAUCAUUAUAAUGAGUAUCUUUCUCUUAUAGGACAAGUCUUUAUGGGUAAGGAGCUUUGAGAACAUAAGGCUUUGAUUGAAUUCCAUUCUCAUUAGGUUUACUAGGUAAUUGCUUUUCAAUUGAAGUUGGUUGACUUUCUUUCCAAUGCUCAAGAACUUUUAAAUAAUUAUCAAUUGUUUUUCCAAACCUAAGGGUAGUUAUAGAUUUGGCUUUCUUAUUAGGCAUAUUAGAAAUGGAUGAUGAUCUUAUUUCAAAUUGACUUUUAGGGUUAGGAAUUGGUUAACUAAGUAGUUUUUCUUUUUCCCUCUCAGCUACAGUAGUUGCUAAUGGACCCAAUUGAUUUUAAGCUUUAAAAUAACUUUAGUGUUUCAAUGUAAGGCUUAUUGGGUUGACUGAAUGAAAUUUUGAAGUGUAUCUCUAAAAAAUGUAUUCUUUGUGAAAUUCUAUUUAUGCAACUCAAGAGAGGAGAUGAAUUGGGUAACUAAAAAUUAUUCAAUUCUAAAACAAAACUCAAUGCAAAUCUAAAAUGAAUUUAAAGAAAUAACAGAUAAAUCAAUCACAAAAUAAAAAGAUAAGGGAAGAGAGAUUCAAACACGGAGAUUUUUACGUGGUUCGGCCAAACUCGCCUACGUCCACGCCUCCAAGCUUUCCAAGCUUGAGGAUUUCACUAAACAAGCCUCAAAGGCUUCAAAUGCUUACAAUUGACUUCCAAUGUGUAAAUGAACCUUUACAACAAGAGAUUGUCCUCAAUUUCUUAACCCAAGUGUAUCACAACACUUAUAAUCACUCAAAACAAAAAUUAUAAAUUUGUUCUGCACUCACAUAAUACUUAAGAUUACAAAUCAAUGCCCAAUGUGUGACUAAAUGAAGCAAAAAUGUGUUUAAAGUUUUAUGAAGGUUGUAUUCUCUAUUAUGAGUUCAAUGAUAGUGUUGUGAUCAACCUUUGUUUGAAUUUGAAUGAGUUUAUUUAUACUUGGAGCUGAAAAAUAGUUGUUACUGAUUGUCUGCUCGUAAACGGAUCGCUGUUAACCAUUAACGGUUAACCGUUUGGACUGGUCAAAGUUACCGUUGAGCCAAAUUUCAAAUAAACGGUUGACCGUUUAUCACUACCGUUUCACCGUUAAUUUUCAGAGACCUGCAAAACAAAUUUCUACUAUCCGUUCUUACUAAACGGUUAAAUAUUAGUAAGGAAAGACAUUCUAGAAUUUAUCGGUUAGCCGUUUGAAGUUAACGGUUCGCCAGUUAUUUCUAGUAACCUGCAAAACGAAAUAGCCUAAUCUGUUUCUGUUAAACAGUGAAAGAUUAGUACAAGCUUCCAUCCUGGAGUUUAUCGGUUAACUGUUUUCUAUAAAUGAUUCACCGUUUAAUUCUAGUAACCUUCCUAGCAUAUUUGUGUUUUCCAUUUUUGCUAUCCGGUUAGAGCUUAAGCAAUUGACCCUCUCUGGAUUUUAUCGAUUAACCGUUUACUUCCAGAAUCACAGUUUUAGCCAAAUAUUGCACGAAAUCAUUUUCCAUGUUGAAAUUUAAUAACUAUCCAUCUUUCAUGAAUGUAAUUGGAAUGAUUAUAUGGCUUUUGUUUAUUAAUGAAUAGCUCUAACAUUUUAAUAAAAAACAUUUAAAGUUUGUUAUCAUCAAAAUUAAUAUUAUGAAUAUAUACAUGUUAACACUUUGUUAGAGUGCAGUAAAUUGUUGAACAAGAGGAUAUGCUAGGUUAUAAGGGACAAAUUCUUUAUCGGGCAUGCUAAAUUGUUGUCCUCCUCUGUUUGAUAUAGUUUGAUUUUGUUUUUAGAAAAAAAUUAGGGUGAUUCCCUAAUUAGAAUUAUAUGUGGGUAAAUAUGGACUAUUAGAGGAUUUGUCAUAUAAUUGUAAUGCAUGUACUAGCUCAGAAUAAGCCUUUUGAUAGGCUGGUAAUGAAGGACAAUUCUAUGUCAUAUGAGAUAAGUUGGAACAAAUAGCACAAAUUUCAUUAGCUACACUAGGAUGAUGAUUCAUUGAUUGGUUUAUAGUUAAGACUUCGACUUUCUUGGAAAGAUUAGCUAGAGUGGCUUUCACAUCAAACUCAUUAUUAACUUCAUGUAGACCAUUGUCAUGACCCAACCUAGGCCUGGUAAGAUAUUGUCCGCUUUGGGCCUUAAUAAGGCCCGCACGGUUUUGUUCUUGGGGCGCCCAUACACCCCAAAAUGUGUCUUGCCAAUUAAGGUGUGAAUCGCCCCUUAUAAACUCAGCAUCUCUCUCGUGCUUUGUCGAUGUGAGAUUCGCCUAGAAUGUUACAACCAUUAAGUUUUGGACUGAUUUUUCUCUUUAAUUUAAAAUAUCUCAUUGUUAAGAAUUCUUAAAAAGUGAACUGAAGAAAUCCUAAGCAGCCAUUUCAUAUAGGUUCAAAAUCUUGCCACCAUUCAUAAACUCUACCAUACAACAAUUUGAUAUCCAUUAUAAAAGUACUCUACUAGUUUACAUUUCUUAAAACCAUUGUAGGGACACUUAAGGAGUGGUUAUUAAAUCUUUCCCAACACUUAUAAAAUUGUUCACUUUCUCUUUGAUAAAAAUCACUUAUCUCUCUCUCAAGGGCAUUUGUUUUAGAUAUAGGGAAAACCUUAGCGAGAAAUUUAUUGCUCAAUCAUCCCAUGUAGUAAUAGAGCCAGUGGAAAGUGAAUUCAACCAAUUUUUUGCUUUGUCUUUUAAUAAAAAAGGGAACAUAUGAAUCUUAAUUGAAUCAUCGUUAAAAUUUUGGAAUGAAAUGUAGAGCAUAGUACUCAAAUCGUCCAAUUUUAAUUGUUCUCUUUCUCUUUUAAACCCUUCAAUACUUAAAAUAAAAACUCAAAAUCUUCAUUUACAAUUCUCUUUUCUAGUACAAUCUUCUGACGGGCAACUAAUUUUUACAACUCUCUGCAUUCAUCGUUGAUUGUUGUUUCAUUAUCCUUGAGAAUUUUAAUUUAUUAAGUAUUUAGUAUCAUUCUUUUUAGAUUAAUAUAAUUAAUUGCAAAUAUUUUUUAUGUGUACCGCAGUGCUAGAGUAUGAAAAGGAAAUUUGAAUUUCACUAUAUAUUUUUUUAAAAAAGGAAAUUAAUAGCCUUAACAUAUGCAUUACAUCAAGAUAAAUAUAGAAGCUAAAUAUACUAACAAAAGCAAAACAUACAUUUAAUUCCUCUCAUAAACACCGUACUAAUUAAUUAAAGUUGUGUGAUAAACGAAACAAACUUAUUGAUCAACUCUACAGCUUUUUCACAUUUAAGGUUGUCGAAAUAGAAGCUAUGCCCUUCGCCGUGAGUCUCAACAAGCUCCACCGUUCCUUUCCACCCACUUUUCUUCAAGUCUUCGUAGUAAUUCAUAGCUACAGGUUUCAAAAAAUCUUUCUCAGCCACAAAUAUCAAAACCCUCUCACACCCAAGCCUGGCCAGAUCCUCUGCGGGUGGUUUCAGCCGAGGAUCCUGCAACCCUCCGUUUGUUGGACACAUGUACAACCACAGCUCAUCUUCUUCAGGACUAGUGCCACCGAAAAAUGGAUGCACCAUGAUCACCCCAACCACCUUUACACAUGGUAACCCGAUUGACCCGACCCGAAAUGCCAGAGUAUGCGCAAUAUUCCCUCCAGCACUGCCCCCUCCAAUGAAAACUCUCCCAAAAUGAGCAUGAUCAUUCAACCAUGGCUCGGGUCCAUUGCCGCCAGCAUGGGACGCCACCCAGUUGAGUGCAGCCCACGAGUCUUCGUAACAAGCGGGUAUGGGUCGAUCCGGGAAGAGCCCGUAUUCCACGGACACCACUAUAGCGUUAGCUUGUGCAGAAACGACGCUACAGAAAUUAUGAUACCGCGGACCAAAGGCGGACCGCCUGCAGAAUCCGCCGCCAUGCAUGUAGAAUAAGAGAGGGAGCUUCUUCUUGUUAGGGUUUUGGGCUUCAUACGGAAUGAAGAUACGAGCAGACACGGGUGGUUCGGACGAAAUAACAACGUCUUUGGAUCGGACGCCGG